rnacentral:rRNA from 1 species
UUACUUGGAUAACUGUGGUAAUUCUAGAGCUAAUACAUGCAAACAGAGCCCCGAACCGGAAACGGAAGGGGCGCUUUUAUUAGAUCAAAACCAAUCGGCGGCGGGUCUUGAUCCGUCGUCGUUCCUAAUGGUGAGUCUGAAUAACUUUAUGCUGAUCGCACGGUCACGCACCGGCGACGCAUCUUUCAAAUGUCUGCCUUAUCAACUGUCGAUGGUAGGUUCUGCGCCUACCAUGGUCGUAACGGGUAACGGGGAAUCAGGGUUCGAUUCCGGAGAGGGAGCCUGAGAAACGGCUACCACAUCCAAGGAAGGCAGCAGGCGCGCAAAUUACCCACUCCCGGCACGGGGAGGUAGUGACGAAAAAUAACGAUACGGGACUCAUCCGAGGCCCCGUAAUCGGAAUGAGUACACUCUAAACCCUUUAACGAGGAUCAAUUGGAGGGCAAGUCUGGUGCCAGCAGCCGCGGUAAUUCCAGCUCCAAUAGCGUAUAUUAAAGUUGUUGCGGUUAAAAAGCUCGUAGUCGAAUUUGUGUCCCGCGCCGCCGGUACAUCGCUCGCGGUGUUCCACUGGCGGUCCGCGGGACGUCCUGCCGGUGGGCGCGGCCGUUUCCGUGGCUCGUCUUUCUACGGGGCGGGUCCGAUGCGGCGGCCCAACUUGAAAUCCCGCCGCGGUGCUCUUCAUUGAGUGUCGAGGCGGGCCGGCACGUUUACUUUGAACAAAUUAGAGUGCUUAAAGCAGGCUAAAACUUCGCCUGAAUAUAUCUUGCAUGGAAUAAUGGAAUAGGACCUCGGUUCUAUUUUGUUGGUUUUCGGAACCCCGAGGUAAUGAUUAAUAGG